rnacentral:rRNA from 1 species
UACGAAGGGGGCUAGCGUUGCUCGGAAUUACUGGGCGUAAAGCGCACGUAGGCGGGUUGUUAAGUCGGGGGUGAAAUCCUGGAGCUCAACUCCAGAACUGCCUUCGAAACUGACGAUUUUGAGUUCGGGAGAGGUGAGUGGAACUGCGAGUGUAGAGGUGAAAUUCGUAGAUAUUCGCAAGAACACCAGUGGCGAAGGCGGCUCACUGGCCCGAUACUGACGCUGAGGUGCGAAAGCGUGGGGAGCAAACAGG